CGGGUCCGGGGGUGCCUCGGGCCCCCGGUCCUCACCGCGGAAUCUGGAGAAGCGCGCCUGCCGGGUCGGGUCUUCCAGUGGAAGCUGUGAUCGCUGUCUGGGGCCAGCCGGAGAAGGGGCCUGAGAAAAUGAGGAAAGCUGAGGACAAAGAGAGCGACGAGGACCAGGUGGGCUGCACCCAGGCUAACUCACCUGGGGACGUGGGUCCGGAUCAUGAUACCUUUCAGCCCUAUGGGAAGUGUCAACGAAAGCCUGGGAAAUGAGGUCUCAGUGAUUCUGACCCCAUCCUCCAGCCAGCGCUGGCCAGGGAGACGGCAGGCCCUGGUCACCCAAGCUGAGG